UCAGUCAGAGAGAGGCCCCGCCCCCUGGGCUAAGACUGCGGACUGCUUCGGGACCAGAACCCAACACUCCGCCGGAUCAUUACUGAUUAUUAAUUAUAGAUUAGUUUGCGAUCAAGUGAUCGAUCAGGUGUGAUCGGUUUGAUUUGUUGCAGGGAAUGUCCCGGCUGCUGGAGAGCAGGAGACAGGACAGGAUGAAGGAAAUCAACCUGAAGAAAAAAGAGAAGGAGCGUCUGAAGGAACGAGAGAAGGAGGCGCGAGAGAGGGAGGCCAGGUACAGCAACGGCCACCUGUUCACCUCCCUGACUGUGUCCUCCACCACCCUGUGCUCCUCCUGCAACAGGAGCAUCACCGCCAAGGAGGCGCUCAGCUGCCCAGCCUGUAAUGUCACCAUCCACAACCGCUGCAGAGACAGUCUGGCCAGCUGUGCUAAGAUGAAACAGAAGCAACAGAAGCUGGCGAUGGUGAGAAACAGUUCAGCUCUGCAGAACGUCGCCCUGCGCACCAAAACUCCGAUGAUGAAGGAGCGUCCCAGCUCGGCCAUCUAUCCCUCAGACAGUCUUCGUCAGUCGCUGCUUGGGUCCAGACGGGUUCGCUCCGGCCUCUCGCUCGCCAAGAGCGUCUCCACCAAUAACAUCGCAGGUGUGAGUGAGGACUCUGUGGGUCUCAGGAGGAUUCUGUCUCAGUCCACUGAGUCUUUGAACUUCAGGAGCAGGACUUUGUCCAUGGAGUCGCUGACUGAUGACGGUGAGUGGUGGUGGAGCCCCCUGCUGGAGGAGCUGCAGGUGGAGGGCAGCUGUGUUCAGGCUGACAGCUGGAGUCUUGUCGUGGAACCAAACUUCCUGCAGACGCUUCAUAAAGACCUCAUCAAACAGCAGGAUGUUAUCUACGAGUUGAUCCAGACGGAGUUCCACCAUGUGCGGACGUUGCGGAUCAUGGAGGGGGUGUACCGGCGGGGAAUGCUGGAGGAGGUGAUGCUGGAGGCCGGUGUGGUUCACACCAUCUUCCCCUGUCUGGACCAGCUGCUGGAGUGGCACUCCAGCUUCCUGUCGGAGUUGCUGAACAGGAGGAAGGAGGGUCUGAUGGAGGGCAGCUCCACCAACUUCACCGUCCGCAGGAUCGGAGAGCUGCUGCUCAGACAGUUUUCAGGUCAGUCUGCAGACGACAUGAAGAAACUUUACUCUGAGUUCUGCAGUCGACACCCGAAAGCUGUUAAACUCUACAAAGAAGUUUUAACUCGAGACCGAAGACUGCAGCAGUUCAUCAGGCGUGCCUGUCGUGGUCCUCUGCUGCGUCGUCAUGGUGUCCAGGAGUGCAUCCUGCUGGUGACACAGCGAAUCACAAAGUACCCUGUCCUCAUCCAACGAAUCCUCGACAACACCAAAGGCAGAGAGGAGGAGGCGCAGGCGUUAAGCCGGGCGCUGCUCCUCCUGAAGGAGCUGAUCAGCUCGGUGGACAAGGAGGUGCUGGAGCUGGACCGAACCAGGAGGCUGCAAGAAAUCCAGGCCCGUCUGGACCCCCGGGCUGAGGCGGAGGUCCAGGGAGGAGGAGUGUUCAGAGGAGGAGAGCUGCUGAGGAGGAGGCUCCUCCAUGAGGGGACGCUUCUCUGGAAGGUCCAGGGCUCCAGGAUGAAAGAUGUGCAGGUCCUGCUGAUGUCAGACAUCUUGGUUUUCCUUCAGGAGAAAGAUCAGAAGUUCACUUUUGCAUCACUGGACAAGUCUCCAGUGAUCUCUCUGAAUAACCUGAUCGUCAGAGACAAAGCCAAUCAGGAGCGAGGGAUGUACCUGAUCAGUGCCUCCACCCCUCCAGAGAUGUACGAGCUGUACGCUUCGUCCAAAGACGACCGCAAGAUCUGGAUGAGCCUCAUCCAGCAGACUGCUCUCAGCUGUCCCUCCAGAGACGAGUUUCCUCUCAUUGAGACUGAAGACAAAGCUUUAUUGCGUAGAAUCAGAGCUGACAUCCAGCAGAAGGACAGGGAGGUGCUGGAGCUCCUGCAGGAGCGAGUCACUCUGUUUUCUGACCUUGUGGAGGUGACAGGAAGAGGAGGAGCAGAAGAAGAGGGAGGUGUGGAGCAUAGCACCUCCUCCUCCUGCAGGAACCUGUUCAGAGCAGACACUCCUCACGCUCCUCAGGCCGAGCCGCUCCUCACCUCCGCCAUCACUGAAGUGGACAAACUGACUGAGCUGCUGCUGGACUCCAGCAUCCAGAAAUCCACCGUAACCAAUGGCAACCAGGAGCUCAGCAAUGGUGACUCUGGUUCUCUGAACGGUUCUUUUGAGUUGAACAGCAGCUCCUCAAAGGACAAAAACGGUAACCAGCUACAGGAACGGACCCUAAACGAGGAAGUCCGUCAGCGAUUGGUCAGUCUGAGCACGCAGCUUCACGCCCUGCAGGCUGCUGUGAUUCGUCAGGACUCGAUCCUGGAGCUGUCAGUCAGAACAGGCCACGCCCCCUACUUUAGCCCAGGCUCGGGCCCCGCCCCCGGGCCCCGCCUCAAUCGGUCAAUGUCGCGGGACACGGGGCUGGACGCCAGUGGGGAGGCGGUGCUGCUGCAGCGGCAGGUGGAGCUACUGCAGGAGGAAGUGACACGGCUGCGUCUGAGGGGGGAGGAGACAACCAGAGAGAGGGGCGGAGCCAGGCAGCAGGAAGAGGAAUAAUGGAGAGAUCAAUGAUGUCAUCAAGGGAGAACAGUGUCUGUGUCAGCAGGUGAGCAGGAGGCGUGGCAGCAGGGAACUGGAGCCCCGCCCCCUCGCCCCAUUAGCCAGCCAGGAUCCAGUCGACCAAUUAGACGGCGUCCAGGAAGGAAACGAGGAGGAAGAGGAGGAUGUGAUGAGGAUCUCUCCUCGCUCUGACAGCCCCAGAGACCUGCAGGACAUCCCAGAGGAGAGCGAGUGUGGACCUGAUCCCAGUUAACAUAACACCUACACCUGACCACCUCAGGGACCUCUGCUGAUGUCACCGUGAUGUCACUGUGAUGUCACCGCGGUGUCACAGACGGACAGAGAUCGGGCUGAUUAAGUCGCUGUCAGACUUCCAUAAUGAAAGUUAGAGCUGGUUUUCUGAAUGUUGCUGUUAGGUUAGAAACAGGAAGUAUAACCAUGUGACCUGUUUACAUCAUCACGUCAGCUGGAGCUCCACCCACACAUGCUGGAGUGGGUGGAGCUUUGUAUUGGGAGGGUGGGGUUUAAAUAGUUUCAGGAUGUGUUGGGGUUUUUAAAGAUUAGACACGUUAAUGGUCACCACACUACAUUACCCAGAAUACCUUUGGUUAUUAACAGCUGCAGUCACCACCUGCUGUGUUCAGUGUAGUUGCUGUAAAACCGGGUGGAGGGGUUAAUUUGAGAUUCGGGGGUGUUAAUCCCACAUAGCCUGACUCAUCUGUUAUAAUCUGUGUUUUCUUCUUAUGAGAGUGACAAACAGCCUCAGUGUAAACUUUCUAUGGUAAUUUAAGUAAAUGUAGUUCAACAUAAGAAACAUUAGACUAUGUAAGAUUUUACUAUCAGAAGUGUUUGUGUUUCUGUCAUAUGCAAAACCAAAAACCAUGUUUUUAAAUUUGGCAACAAAGUUUGUCAGCAAGUGAAAACUUAUACGUUUACAGAAAUUAUGAAACCAAGUUUUUUUAAUACAGUUUUUAAAGGAUCAGUGCAGAAAGUUUGGUUUAUAUCAGCAAUGAAAAAUAAAAUAAUCAGCAGAUCCAAAGUCCAUCUGCCUGACAGGAGGAAGGUGCGGCUACUACAGAUUUACGCGGCGUUGGUGCUGGAGUCGGGGUUGGGGGUCUGGGGGGUUUGAGGGUCUGGGGGGUCGGGGGUGGAUUAUAUAUUGUUGAGUAGUAGAUCAGUGGUGUUUUUAAAGAAACAGGAAGCUGUUUGCUGUCUGACUGAAACAUGGCAUCGCUGCUGAAGAACUCCUGUCUGUUAGCAUGUUAGCAUGUUAGCAUGUUUAUUUUAUACUUGUAUAGAACCUGAACAUAUUGUCUUACUGGCUGGUUUUAACCAAUCAGCUUGUUUGAGGAGGAUUUUAUUGAGAUGUUGAACACGUUGACUCCUCGCUGAUGUUAUUUUAACCAAAACACUUUAUUUCCAGCCUGAUGAAGGACAGCAGCAGCUUUACAUUCAGGCGAUGUAAAAACCCGUUAGAAGAUAGAAAAGCUCCGUCAUGUUUCAGAUAAACACGAGGAUCCGCUCAGCGUCGGCUGCAGUUCAGCUCUCAACCUGUUUCACUCCAGAAACUAUUGUAAAAAAGUUUCUUUGUGCAAAACUUCAACAUCUGCUGCAGAUUUUCCAAAUGUUUCAUUAUAAAUGUAAAAACAUUAUGAAUGAAGGAAACUGAGUGGCAACUGAAAAAACAGACAGUUGCCGUGGAUACAGUCACCAUGGAGAGUUUAGUUGAUGAUUCGAUGAAUUGAAAUCAAACCUGCUGCAGAGUGAUGAUGACGAUGAUGACGAUGGAUCCACGUCUCAGUGUCUCAUGAUGAAGUUAAAAACAGUGUGGACAGAGGAAACAGAACGCUGUAUUAGAAACAUAAAUUAAUAUUUAAUGAUGCAACACUUUGACGUGAAGCUCUUCAUCAUCCAUGCGAAUGAAAAAAAGGCUCCAAACAUGAACAAAAAUGUCCGACAGUUAAAGAUCACAUGAUGCGGAAACACCCAUCUUACCAAAACAAUCGAACACGCUCAUAAAGAUUUACAGUCCGCGUCUUUAAAAGUCCAUCCGCACCGAGAGCUGACCGGUGAAGUCAUUGUUCUAAAGAGCGAAAGCGUCGACGGGAGAUAAAUAAAACAGUCAGCUGCUGAAUAUCCUGAACAUCAGCUGUUAAAAAGCUGGUGAUUUAAAACAUAAAGCUUUUAAAUAUCGUAUUUACACAGAAAACUGAGUCAGUCUGCAGUUUAAAACAAACCUCACCUCUUAAUAAGUUAAGAAGGUGUUUACGUUUGUGUCACUGUAUGUUUCUGAAAAUGUGGAUCAGAAGCAUCUUUAGUACAGUUUGUUACAGCAGAUUUCAGGUGUUUUUGCAUCAUGUGAUCUUCAGCUGUUUCGUGAUUUAACCUCCUGAUCUGUGACAUCUUAAGAGUCAGGAAUGAUUCCUUCCUGAGUUUAACAGUUUUUUCAGCAUAAGAAGUUUUUUCUUACUUUAAACCUUCAGGACACAAAGUCUCUGAGUCUCUUUUCACAACAUCUGUAAACGCAGCUGAACCCCGAGAGCCGUUUAGACAGGUGAGCUGUUCAGGUAAUGAUGCUGAGAGGAAGUUCAGGCUGAGCGCAGACUUUAAACGGAGCUGGUGUCAGAAACGCAGCAGCUUCAGAUUUUAAUGUAGUUUUUAGAAACAUUGGCCUGAAGUUAGUGUCUGUAUAAAGAUUCGAUAAGAAAACUGUAAAUGACUGUUGUAAGUUUAUUGUUUUGAUGCUCUGACUGUGUAUGUGUGUUCAUUAUAAAUCUAAUCAGCUGGAGAAAAUGUUGCUGUUUUUAUUUCUGGAGAUUAAAAUCCUAAAAUGCUUCACGCUGAA